AGCAGACUUGGCGCUAUGGAGGAGCCCUGGGCUACCCCUCAGCCUUACUUGAGGCUGGUACUGGAGAUGCUAUGCAGGGUUGUGGCAGCACUGCGUCAAAGUAUGGGAGCAGAUUCUAAUUCUUAUGGUUUUCCAUGGGAAUAGGUGAUAGGGGCAGCUAUUUUUGGAUUUUUUGCUGUUCCCUUUUUUUUGUGGAGAGGUUUUAGAUCGGUUAGGAAUCGGCUUUAUGUGGGAAGAGAGAAAAAGCUUGCUGAAAUGCAUUCUAGACUAAUUGAAAAAAAUGUAAACUACAAGAAAAAUUUAGUGUUAUUGAAAAAGAGCAUGAAGACUAUGAAGUCGAGUCAUCUUUACAGGAUCCCAGCUUUGAGACGGAAGCAACAGAAGCACAAAGUUUGGAGGCAACCCGUGAAAAGCUGAACAGGUCCAAUGCAGAACAUGAGGAUGAAAUACUCUGUCUAGUAAAAGAGUUAAAAGAAGAGAAAUCCAAACAGUCUGAACAAAAUGAACUGAUGGCAGAUAUUUCAAAAAGGAUAUAGUCUCUAGAAGAUGAGUCAAAAUCCCUCGAAUCACAAGUAGCUGAAGCCAAAAUGAUCUUCACGACUUUAUUUCAAAUGAAUGAAGAACAACUGAAGAUAGCAAUAAAAGAUGCUUUGGAUGAAAAUUCUCAACUUCAGGAAAGCCAGAAACAACUUUUGCAAGAAGCUGAAGUAUGGAAAGAACAAGUGAGUGAACUUAAUAAACAGAAAGUAGCAUUGGAAGACUCCAAAGUACACGCAGAACAAGUUCUCAGUGAUAAAGACAAUCACAUCAAGACUCUGACUGAACGCCUGCUAAAGAUGAAAGAUUGGGCUGCUACGCUUGGAGAAGACAGAACGGAUGGUGAUAACUUGGAGUUAGAAAUGAACAGUGAAUUGGAAAAUGGUGCUUACUUAGAUCAUCCUCCAAAAGGAGCUUUGAAGAAACUGAUUCAUGCUGCUAAGUUCAAUGCUUCUUUAAAAAGUUUAGAAGGAGAAAUAAAUCAAAUUUACAUCCAGUCAUCUGAAGUUGAUAAAAUGAAGGAAGAGCUUACAGAGUGUAUUAAAAAUCUUGAGACUGAACAAGUAUCUUUGCAGUCAGAAAACACACAUUUUUAAGGUGAGAAUCAGAAGCUUCAACAGAAACUUAAAGUAAUGACUGAAUUAUAUCAAGAAAAUGAAAUGAAACUCUACAGGAAAUUAACAACAUAGGAAAAUUACCAGGUAGAGACAGAAGAGAAACUUUCUAAAGUAGACAAAAGGAUCAGCCAUGCCACUGCAAAGCUGGAGACCUACAGAAAGCGAGCCAAAGAUCUUGAAGAAUUGGAGAAAACGUUACAUUAUUAUCAAGGGCACAUUAUUUCCUAUGAGAACAAAGCACAGGAUAAUUGGUUCGCAGCUUGAACUGCUGAAAGACAUCUCAAAGAUUUAAGGAAA